GGCACAGAUACGUGCCGACAAUCUCGCUGUGCUCAAGGAUCGUAAUACUACGGAAAUUCUUCAUCGGUUUGACAAAAUCUCGGGGAAGAGGGCGGCGAAGUGGAAAGCCAAGACUGCUUCUCUUCAGCGCAAGACCACGGCGGCGGGGAGUCUGAAGCGCAAGCGUUGGACGGAUGACGAGGUGAAUGCUGUUUG
rnacentral:ribozyme from 1 species